rnacentral:rRNA from 1 species
UCCGUGCCAGCAGCCGCGGUAAUACGGAGGGUGCGAGCGUUAAUCGGAAUUACUGGGCGUAAAGCGCGCGUAGGCGGUUUGUUAAGUCGGAUGUGAAAGCCCCGGGCUCAACCUGGGAAUUGCACCCGAUACUGGCCGACUGGAGUGCGAGAGAGGGAGGUAGAAUUCCACGUGUAGCGGUGAAAUGCGUAGAUAUGUGGAGGAAUACCGGUGGCGAAGGCGGCCUCCUGGCUCGACACUGACGCUGAGGUGCGAAAGCGUGGGGAGCAAACAAGAUUAGAUACCCUGGUAGUCCACGCCGUAAACGAUGUCUACUAGCCGUUGGGGAACUUGAGUCCUUGGUGGCGCAGUUAACGCGAUAAGUAGACCGCCUGGGGAGUACGGCCGCAAGGUUAAAACUCAAAUGAAUUGACGGGGGCCCGCACAAGCGGUGGAGCAUGUGGUUUAAUUCGAUGCAACGCGAAGAACCUUACCAGGCCUUGACAUCCUUGGAAUUCUGCAGAGAUGCGGGAGUGCCUUCGGGAAUCAAGUGACAGGUGCUGCAUGGCUGUCGUCAGCUCGUGUCGUGAGAUGUUGGGUUAAGUCCCGUAACGAGCGCAACCCUUGUCCUUAGUUGCCAGCGAUUCGGUCGGGAACUCUAAGGAGACUGACGGUGACAAACCGUAGGAAGGUGGGGACGACGUCAAGUCAUCAUGGCCCUUACGGCCUGGGCUACACACGUGCUACAAUGGAACGCACAGAGGGCAGCGAACCCGCGAGGGGGAGCGAAUCCCACAAAACGUUUCGUAGUCCGGAUCGGAGUCUGCAACUCGACUCCGGAAGUCGGAAUCGCU